rnacentral:rRNA from 1 species
UUAGUCCUACGGGGGGCAGCAGUGGGGAAUAUUGGACAAUGGGGGGAACCCUGAUCCAGCGACGCCGCGUGAGUGAAGAAGUAUUUCGGUAUGUAAAGCUCUAUCAGCAGGGAAGAAAAUGACGGUACCUGAGUAAGAAGCCCCGGCUAACUACGUGCCAGCAGCCGCGGUAAUACGUAGGGGGCAAGCGUUAUCCGGAUUUACUGGGUGUAAAGGGAGCGUAGACGGCCAGACAAGUCUGAAGUGAAAAUCCAGCGCUUAACGUUGGAAGUGCUUUGGAAACUGCCGGGCUGGAGUGCAGGAGG